GAACAUAGAAUUAGGAUUGUGACAAGAGACAAUGGUGGCAAUGACACGUAGUUAGAAUGUUACAGCUUGUGAAGUCUGUAGCUAAAUCUCAGGAACAGAAAUGUUGAGAAGGGUAGACUGAUGACUACCCCUCAGUGGAAACAGACCAGAUCUCAGCUUAUCUGGCUGGAAGGAAAGCAAAAAAACAAAGCAAAACCAACCAAAAAAUCCUAAGAAACAAAAGACAGAUUCAAGCCAAUCUGUGAUUUGUAAAAUAAGCCAGGUGCAGGCUUGUAUACUGGGCCACAUGGUGACUUGGAUUUUUAAGGGUUACACACAUGAGGCAACUACAAUCCAGAGGAAUUUGUGACUAUCCUCAGAGGCCACAGCCAUUGAUGCCUCUUUCACUCUGCCCAUUAUGUCCCACUGAACAGCUUGGGUGUCAGAGCCAGCCAUUUUGCUCUGUGAGGAAGUAAUUUUGCAGUUAAAUUGGACCUGGUUGCAUUUUCUAGUCUCUGCUUUCUCCAAAUAUCCCAGUACUUAGUUUUUGCUCUGGUUGAAAAAAAAAAAAAAAAAAAAAAAAAAAAAAAAAAAAAACCUACACUAAUGGAUUAAACAACCAUUUGGAAAAGACAGGAUUUUUUCUUAAACUUUUUUGAGGUAAUUUUGGAAAGGAUCAUUCAAAUUAACGUAUGUGAAGCACCUAACAUAACAGACCCUUGGUAAAUGGUAGCAAAGAAGAUUGUGAUCAUUAGGAGCUCCUGAGAGAGGGCAGGUGCCACAGGAAGGGAUUGGACCAGAUCAACAUUUCAGUGUCUUCUGAGGAUUAUAAUUUCUGGAAGUUGCUCCCAGAUGGGGGACAACUUUCAACCUACGGUCAAAUAAAUAUUGCUUAGAAACUCUCAAUUUGCCUUUUGGAAAUU
rnacentral:lncRNA from 10 species